rnacentral:rRNA from 1 species
CACGUAGGGGGCAAGCGUUGUCCGGAUUUAUUGGGCGUAAAGAGCUCGUAGGCGGUUCGAUAAGUCGGGUGUGAAACCUCCAGGCUCAACCUGGAGACGCCACCCGAUACUGUUGUGACUAGAGUCCGGUAGGGGAGCGUGGAAUUCCUGGUGUAGCGGUGAAAUGCGCAGAUAUCAGGAGGAACACCAGCGGCGGAAGGCGGCGCUCUGGGCCGGAACUGACGCUGAGGAGCGAAAGCGUGGGUAGCAAACAGG